ensembl:lncRNA
GACCCCUCCUCACGCUUUCUGAUUGUAUAGAUUAAAAUGUCCGUGUACGGACUUACAUUGCAUUGAUGGUGGGGAUAUUUGUAGGAAUGUGCACGUGUUUUCAGAUUAAGGUUGAGCACAUUCCUUUACUGUCAUACCUCCUUGUUCUGUUGAAUCGUUGCUAGUUGGAUUUGAAACACAUUCCUCCGUGUUUCACACAGCUUUUCAAACCGACCAACACAUAAAGCAACACGUUUUAUUUAACUCUAACAAAAAUCCCAAAUGAAAAGUUGUUUUUUAAGUAAAAUGCUAUAGAUGCUAAAGGAAGAGGGCCGAGCUGGAGGAGCUACGAGACACCAACCAAACGCUGACGGACGAGCAGAAGGAUCUACGCUCGGCUCACCAGACGCAGGUAAAGGGAGCCGAUGCAGCUCCGAGGUGUUUCGCUUAACCUCUGACCUCGAUUAGGUUAUUCACACAAACCAGACAUUCAAACCCCAUCCGGCAAUGAACAAAGAGCCGGUGGCCGUAGUGAGACUGUUGUCCAGCAGGUGUCAGGAUUGGACUUUUUGUCCACCGCUGCUCUGGCACUUUCUAUCGCCGCGUAAAUAGAUAAAUAAUGGCCGUUGAAUGUUUUUAGAACCAAUGUGGCUUUUUUAUCGCUGUCGAGCUUCCAGCCAACUCCUCCAGAAAUGUGCAACAUGGUCCUGCUGCCAGCUCCUCCUAUCAGAAGUAACGUCUUAAAACUGAUCCGGGGCCAGUUUAACAUCAGAGACCAACAAGUCUGCUGCUGCCGCCUGAUUUUGAUUGAUUCAAUUGCAUGAAAUCUAAAACCUCACGGUUCAAAUUUACGGCCCCAAUUUGAAAAACUACAACCACCCGUGAGAAAAGGCACAAAUUCAGAUUUUUUAAAAUUUAUUUCCUGGCAUCGGCAUUCGUUUCAAUGUGUUUUGAGUCGGGGCACCAGCGAAGCAUUCCCACCCAGUGUGAGGAUUUAAUAUUUGUAUUAGACCCCCCUCCCUCGCUGGCCCCCGUUUCUACCAGUCCAUCAAAACCGGCAGAAGAACACGGUUAUCUCUGCUGCGAGAAGGACCGACAGACCGCCCCGCCAGUGGGAAACCUAACGAGAACCUUCAAGCCUGUGAAUUAUUGUGAAAGUCCAGAGAGCCGGAGAUCACGUCCGACCCCCUUUUUCUUUUGCGUUUGCUCAUCUUUCCAGAUGACGGCGCCGGGUUCAAGAGGCUCCUAUUUUUCCCUCCGACCAUAUCGAGGCCUCCGUCUAAGCCCCUGACAUUAUUCAUACAAAAAUGAGGCGAUAUAACAACAUCCUGCUUUACUGUGUUGGAGGUGAGGGAGCUGCAGCAGGAGAACGAGGGGAGUCUGAGGAAGCUGCAGGCGACGGCGGAGCAGUUCGAGUGGCUCUGUCAGCAGCAGCGCGGCUGGAUGUGUUGUGUCAAGAGAUUCAAGGACAGCCUGAUGGAGGAGAGGGACGCUCUGCUGCGACAGGUCGUCGCCCUCAACAAGAAGGUCGAGGAGCUGAAGAAGAGUUUGCGCGAAGACGCUCCCACGCAGAGCGUCCUCCGUCCCCCGCAGGACACUAAACGCCGUGACAGCUUAACGUCGUUGGACGCAGACGCUGUGGCUGACCUGGAGUCUCGGGUGGAGAAGUCAAACAUGCUGUACGCGGCGCUCUUUAACCAGGCAGGAGUCCUCAUCAGCGGAUACCAACACCCUCCUUGAGGACCUGCAGCCUGCAGCCUGGACUCGUCUUCCUCUUCUCUUCCCACCUUCUGCAAACCACAACUUUACCGCUAAAUGUUUGUGUGCGCGGUGAACUUUGUAAAAUACCCGCCAGUCGUUGUCGUAAAAAAAAAAGAAAAGAAAAGAAAACAUGGAACAGCUUAACCGACUCGUUCCCAGAGCCUUUUUUCCCCCUGUCUUCCUUUUACUGUGACACGUGCACAUCACAUGAUGUCACAUUCUCCCGUAAUCGUCCGUUACUCAGACCGUGUAAUCAACACCACCAACCAGAGCGGUGAAGCACCUGCGAAUGUUCUCUUCUGUUGUGUUGCCAAUGAAUCCUCUCUCGGGGGAAGCAGCUGCUGGCGAGCAACAGGAAACAACAAAACGUGCCGUUCAGAGCAAACCGAGGCCCGGCGGAUGGUUUCCUCCGCACGGAGGAUCUGGUUCAUCUCCGCUCCGAACGAGGGGAGAUCCUCACUUAUCAGCACGGAACAGGGAGACGUACGGGAGGGGCCAGUGCUGUCGACUCGAUGGUCUUCAUCGAAAUGGGAAACAUGUGACGCACACAUGCUUCGAGUAACCCUUUGGUUGCUGGACUGACGCGACGAAGCCUCGAGUCCGACGGCAUCGCCGUCGUGGAUUACACGGUCACUUUGUGCAAGUUACGAUAAUUGGAAUCACAACAAGCUCCGCCCUAAAGCAUAUUCGUGCGCUAUGGUUUAGUGGACCGUAAUAUACUAAAUGAACAUCAUGCUGUAUUGAAUAAGAUCAAGGCCAGCAACUCAUGUUUACAGUGUUUACUGAGGGAAUAAGUCAUUUUCUGCACAAUCGGAGUUGCAGCAGCAGCAGCCAGAGAUGUCGACUUGAUCCACCAAAGUUCAACAAAUAAUCCAACAUGUUGUUUUUUGGGCAGAAAAAAUUGUUGUUUUCCUUGACUAAAGUGAGCACAGAAGGGAAAGGGCAACCUUUCUCCUAACCUCAAUUAAAAGUUUGAGUAGCCUCAGAGCUUGUAGGAAGGGAAGUAGGAAGCAGGGGGCAAAUUGAGAAGUCUUGAACCUUUGUUGAAGGUACAAGCAUUGGAUGACACACCGUUUUAGUGAGAACCGAUGCCAUUUUUUAAUACAAAAAAAAAAAACGUACAAAAACAUACUUUCCACUCACUUUGUGGGUUUGUUUCAGCAUCUCAGUCACCGACCCAUCGUUCCAUUACCACCCCUCCCAGUGUGAUAGUUGUGGUGAACGUUGCUCCUGCAUAUUGAGGUCGCGCUGUGCUUACGGGAAAGCUGACUUUGCAUGAAACAGAAGGACUCGAUGCCAGUCGGCACUCACGCCCCUUAAACAGAAAGCUCUGUGGAAAUGUGAGAAUUGAGAAAUGAUGUGACGGGUCAUAAAUGUCCAAAAGUCUCAACAAUAAGGUAAAGAUAUCAACAACAGCAAAGGCAAGCUGGGGGAAAUCUUUCAGAGGAGCUGAAGUUGAGGACAGAACACGAAAAAGUAUUUUCUAAUACUAAAAAGUCGCACCCGCAUCAACUUAAAAAUUGAAAAAUAACUUCUUGGCACAGGGCGGCUUCAGGUCAGAGUUCUGGACCCCCGG